rnacentral:SRP_RNA from 1 species
UCGCGCUAGACGGGGAGGUAGCGGUGCCCUGCACCCGCAAUCCGCUACAGCGGGGUCGAAUCCCCCCCCGAGGCGUGUGGCUGUGGGGCCCUGGCCCACGUAAGUGGUGAAGAAGGCUUGGCCCCGCGCAACGGAAAGCUGUGAACCCCGCCAGGUCCGGGAGGAAGCAACGGUAAGCAGCCCCUUUCGUGUGCCGCGGCACUCCUGGCCGGAGCCGGCUGCGUGGAUACCGCCUGGAGCCACCCGACGAAGGUGGGUGCGCGG